GUCAGUCUUUGUCCAGGGGGCCGCCUUCGCCACCGGUAUUCCUCCAGAUCUCUACGCAUUUCACCGCUACACCUGGAAUUCUACCCCCCUCUACAAGACUCUAGCCUGCCAGUUUCGAAUGCAGUUCCCAGGUUGAGCCCGGGGAUUUCACAUCCGACUUGACAGACCGCCUGCGUGCGCUUUACGCCCAGUAAUUCCGAUUAACGCUUGCACCCUCCGUAUUACCGCGGCUGCUGGCACGGAGUUAGCCGGUGCUUCUUCUGCGGGUAACGUCAAUUGCUGUGGUUAUUAACCACAACACCUUCCUCCCCGCUGAAAGUACUUUACAACCCGAAGGCCUUCUUCAUACACGCGGCAUGGCUGCAUCAGGCUUGCGCCCAUUGUGCAAUAUUCCCCACUGCUGCCUCCCGUAGGAGUCUGGACCGUGUCUCAGUUCCAGUGUGGCUGGUCAUCCUCUCAGACCAGCUAGGGAUCGUCGCCUAGGUGAGCCGUUACCCCACCUACUAGCUAAUCCCAUCUGGGCACAUCUGAUGGCAAGAGGCCCGAAGGUCCCCCUCUUUGGUCUUGCGACGUUAUGCGGUAUUAGCUACCGUUUCCAGUAGUUAUCCCCCUCCAUCAGGCAGUUUCCCAGACAUUACUCACCCGUCCGCCGCUCGUCACCCGAGAGCAAGCUCUCUGUGCUACCGCUCGACUUGCAUGUGUUAGGCCUGCCGCCAGCGUUCAAU
rnacentral:rRNA from 1 species